GAACCCCCAGAUACUAAACCAUUGCCUUGAAAGCCAUCUUCCUACUUAUAGUUGACCCUUCAACAAGCAUAAGGUCUCUUCAUUUUUUUCUGAAGCUUUAUUAUCUCUGACUCAGUCUGUGGCCAGACUAGAGCCAGGAACCAUUUAUUCUCAAGACCCAAAAGGCUAAUAAUGACUGCUGUGGAAAAAUACUACCUUCCCAAAAGUGCUUAUGGAUUUAAAGAUCAUCUUAAAUAUACAGAAGCAGAAACACGUGAGCUGAAAUAUAAAGGAAGAGAAAUAUUAAGUGUUUUUGAAAUUUGUACGAAAAAUUAAACAUGCAGAUGGAUAAAGUGACUCAGUGAAUGCAGCUGUUUAAGACGGUGGAGUGGAGUGAUUGAUUGCUGCUUGCUGGAGCCCAGGGCUGAAAGCUAUUUAGCCAAGCUGAGCAACAUGAAUUGUCUUAUUACACGAGUACAACAAUUUGCGCCCUCAAAUUUUUCUUCCUACACUUUAUGAACACCACAAAGAGAACACAAGUCUACAGCAUGACUUUUUAAAUCCAUUUCUACUCUAGUUUCACACACUGCGGUUUCCCCCAUGUUUCUCAUUUCUGAAGCUUCCUGAGAGCUUUCCCCAGACCCAGUCUGGGCCCUGUUUUUGUUUGUUUGUUUGUUUGUUUUCUUUCUACCACUUUCCUUCUGAAUGUGCAUGACAGAAGUUCAGAAGAAACAAUCUGGAAAAAGAGGCUUUUCCUCAGAUGGCAGAAGGCAUUGGGAGACACUCAGAAAGAAAUGGCAAAUCCUCUCCAGCAAGCAGGAAUGAGACAAUGGCGGGGAACAUUCAUAUGAGUGAUUUAUCUAUAUUAGUAAAUUGGACCAGAGUGAACCAAGUAUGAGAAAUAGGUUAUACCAGACAAGAGGAUCAAAGUGAGGUAUGGGAUAAGUUGACAUAUACUGUAUAAGUUUAAUCUUUGGUCUGAUAAACUUUACCUCACUCCAUUUUUUUUUUAAUUUAUUUAGAGA